UUAUUUAUCCUAUAGAUAAAGAAGCACCAAAAAGGCAAAGGGAAAAUGCCCGGUAUGAGCAAAAUAAAGAAGGGAUGUUAGAAAGCUAGAGCUGUAUUUAUUUUUCAGUUGCAGCUUAGCUAAUGUUUCAUCUGGUUUAUUGCGCCAAACUUUUGUCUCAGGUUCUUUUAUCACAUGGACUGCACUCAGUCCCAGUUUAUACCUACAUAUGAUAUUGCAUUUACCCUUGUACCUUUCAGUUCCAUGGUUAUUGUAAAGCAUCCACUAUUGUUGUACGCAUACAAGUAGUUGUAUUCACAAAUCAUCUUUUGUUUCCUAUUAUCCUCAAUAGGAUGCUAUUUUAUGCUGAUCGAAGUUAGUACUAAUACAUAACUUUGGUAGUCCGCAGAACCAAAAUCCUUUGACCUGAUCUCUUUGCAGGUGAAAAUUUAUAUUUUACUACGCAGAUGUAGAGUUAGCUUUUAUAUAAGGAAAUAAGAUUCGAGAAAUAAGCAACUUAAACACAGCAAUUGAAGAUUUCCAAGUCAGAUUUACCAACUUCAACAGAGAAUUGGCUUUUGUAGAAGGAAAUAUGAUUCGAGAGGGAUCGGACGGGAGAAAUAGAGAAGGACAGACGAUUGCUGCAGGAGGAGCAGGAGUCCUUGCACGUGGACACCCUCCCGUUCUCCCAGGUGAUCCGGCUACCAUGUCAUGGAUUCAGGGUAGUGUGUGGGAUUUCCAGUAGAAGAGUAGCUACUCACAAGCUUGAUGCCGCAAAAGCAUCUUCCUACUCUUCUGAGAACUUCCACCAAUAAGCUCCACGCGCU